ACGCUGGCGGCGUGCCUAAUACAUGCAAGUCGAGCGAACGGACGAGAAGCUUGCUUCUCUGAUGUUAGCGGCGGACGGGUGAGUAACACGUGGAUAACCUACCUAUAAGACUGGGAUAACUUCGGGAAACCGGAGCUAAUACCGGAUGAUAUUUUGAACCGCAUGGUUCAAAAGUGAAAGACGGUCUUGCUGUCACUUAUAGAUGGAUCCGCGCUGCAUUAGCUAGUUGGUAAGGUAACGGCUUACCAAGGCAACGAUGCAUAGCCGACCUGAGAGGGUGAUCGGCCACACUGGAACUGAGACACGGUCCAGACUCCUACGGGAGGCAGCAGUAGGGAAUCUUCCGCAAUGGGCGAAAGCCUGACGGAGCAACGCCGCGUGAGUGAUGAAGGUCUUCGGAUCGUAAAACUCUGUUAUUAGGGAAGAACAUAUGUGUAAGUAACUGUGCACAUCUUGACGGUACCUAAUCAGAAAGCCACGGCUAACUACGUGCCAGCAGCCGCGGUAAUACGUAGGUGGCAAGCGUUAUCCGGAAUUAUUGGGCGUAAAGCGCGCGUAGGCGGUUUUUUAAGUCUGAUGUGAAAGCCCACGGCUCAACCGUGGAGGGUCAUUGGAAACUGGAAAACUUGAGUGCAGAAGAGGAAAGUGGAAUUCCAUGUGUAGCGGUGAAAUGCGCAGAGAUAUGGAGGAACACCAGUGGCGAAGGCGACUUUCUGGUCUGUAACUGACGCUGAUGUGCGAAAGCGUGGGGAUCAAACAGGAUUAGAUACCCUGGUAGUCCACGCCGUAAACGAUGAGUGCUAAGUGUUAGGGGGUUUCCGCCCCUUAGUGCUGCAGCUAACGCAUUAAGCACUCCGCCUGGGGAGUACGACCGCAAGGUUGAAACUCAAAGGAAUUGACGGGGACCCGCACAAGCGGUGGAGCAUGUGGUUUAAUUCGAAGCAACGCGAAGAACCUUACCAAAUCUUGACAUCCUUUGACAACUCUAGAGAUAGAGCCUUCCCCUUCGGGGGACAAAGUGACAGGUGGUGCAUGGUUGUCGUCAGCUCGUGUCGUGAGAUGUUGGGUUAAGUCCCGCAACGAGCGCAACCCUUAAGCUUAGUUGCCAUCAUUAAGUUGGGCACUCUAAGUUGACUGCCGGUGACAAACCGGAGGAAGGUGGGGAUGACGUCAAAUCAUCAUGCCCCUUAUGAUUUGGGCUACACACGUGCUACAAUGGACAAUACAAAGGGCAGCGAAACCGCGAGGUCAAGCAAAUCCCAUAAAGUUGUUCUCAGUUCGGAUUGUAGUCUGCAACUCGACUACAUGAAGCUGGAAUCGCUAGUAAUCGUAGAUCAGCAUGCUACGGUGAAUACGUUCCCGGGUCU
rnacentral:rRNA from 1 species